rnacentral:rRNA from 2 species
UACGUAGGUGGCAAGCGUUGUCCGGAAUUAUUGGGCGUAAAGAGCAUGUAGGCGGGCUUUUAAGUCCGACGUGAAAAUGCGGGGCUUAACCCCGUAUGGCGUUGGAUACUGGGAGUCUUGAGUGCAGGAGAGGAAAGGGGAAUUCCCAGUGUAGCGGUGAAAUGCGUAGAUAUUGGGAGGAACACCAGUGGCGAAGGCGCCUUUCUGGACUGUGUCUGACGCUGAGAUGCGAAAGCCAGGGUAGCAAACGGG